rnacentral:rRNA from 1 species
UACAGAGGUCUCGAGCGUUGUUCGGAUUCAUUGGGCGUAAAGGGCGCGUAGGCUGCGGGGCAAGUCGGGUGUGAAAUCUCAGAGCUCAACUCUGAAACUGCACUCGAUACUGCUUUGCUUGAGGACUGGAGAGGAGAUUGGAAUUCACGGUGUAGCAGUGAAAUGCGUAGAUAUCGUGAGGAAGACCAGUGGCGAAGGCGGAUCUCUGGACAGUUCCUGACGCUGAGGCGCGAAGGCCAGGGGAGCAAACGGGG